GGCAGAGAUGCAGGAGCUGCGAGUCCGGCUGGCGGAGGCCGAGGAGACCGCCCGGACGGCGGAGCGACAGAAGAGCCAGCUCCAGCGGCUGCUGCAGGAGCUCCGCAGGCGUCUGACCCCCCUGCAGCUGGAGAUCCAGCGGGUGGUGGAAAAGGCUGACAGCUGGGUGGAGAAGGAGGAGCCGGCACCUAGCAACUGACGGCCUCGCACGGAACUGCCAUCCUGUGAGGGCAGCGGUGGCGCCCGGCAAAGUUGGAGCCCUUGCGGUACCAGAAAGCAGCGAGAGCGAGACCUGGGAGCCAGGGCAGGGGUGGCUGACCCCAUGCUCAGCCUCUAGGGGACGGCAGGCCAUCAGGCUGGGGGCUGUGCUAUGUGGGAUGGAUGUGUGAGGAACCCCGGUUCCACUUAACAACUAAAUACAACAUCUUUUGCACCCCUAGAAUGUCAUUUUGCCCUCAACCUUGGUAUUUCUCCUGGGGCCCUUUUAGUCUUGUGCUGACUUUCUCCUGUCCUCUUCCAGUUUAGAAUAAGACAGGGGAGAAAAAGGCUUUUCGAGUGUGGGACAAGGUCUGAUGUCAGUGAACGGAACUGAAGAGCAAGACAUGGAGCCUGGCUGGGGCUAAGCAGCCCCCUCCUCCGGAUGGCACAGGCUCUGCUAGGUUCCGGACACAGGCUUCUGGGGGAAGGGUCUCCCUUGGCCAUCACGGGAAUGGAGUCCAUGCUAGAAAGAGCUCAGUGUUGGGCUGGGUUUGCCAGUAGAACACUGCGUUCCAGUCACCCCGGUCUUGCCAGAAGAAACCAGCACCUCUUUCCCGUGGCUCCUGUGUUCAGAAUGUGGUAUUGGCUCUGGCCCAGCCUUCUCCCCUGUUACCCAUAAUUCUUGCCUCUUUCCAUAAUCCGUGGUUUCAGUUUGACUUUGUAUAUAAAGUUGGGGUUUUUUUUUUUUUUUUUUGGCUUGUUUUUUAAAUAAACCAAAGUC
rnacentral:lncRNA from 1 species